GAACGUCUGAAGGUCAAAAGCUGCGUCAAAAUGAAUCGUUGCCCUUCCCCUUUUGAACACCUGUUGAAAACUGUCAGAAGAGUGGAGAAUAAACCAGAGACCACAACAGAAAAGUCGAAGCUGCUCUUCAUUUCCUUGACCAAAGACUCCAGGCACUGUUGAAAGAUAUG